GACGAACGCUGGCGGCGUGCCUAAUACAUGCAAGUCGAACGCAGUGGGGACGGGUGAGUAACACGUGGGUAACCUCCCAUCAGAGGGGAUAACACUUGGACACAGGUGCUAAACCGAUACUGAUGGAUGGACCCGCGGUGCAUUAGCUGGUUGGUGGGGUAACGGCUCACCAAGGCCACGAUGCAUAGCCGACGUGGAGGGGGAAACGGCCACACUGGGAUUGAGAAACGGCCCAGACUCCUCGGGGGGGCAGCAGUGGGGAAUCUUCGGCAAUGGAGGAAAGUCGGACCGAGCAACGCGGCGUGAGUGAAGAAGGUUUUCGGAUCGUAAAACUCUGUUGUUAGAGAAGCGGUAUCUAACCAGAAAGCCACGGCUAACUACGUGCCAGCCGCCGCGGUAAUAC
rnacentral:rRNA from 1 species